GUCUACUUCUGUGUCUGGAAGGGGGUCAAGUCAACAGGAAAGGUACGGCGGGGGCAGGUCACAGCAGGGCUGGGGGGCAGCGUUGCCUGGGGGGUAGGGGUGUCUGCCAGGAACGACUGUUGCAGCAGGAGGUGACUGGCCCCCGGCCAAAGCCCAGGAGGGAGCAGGGCCUUCUAUCCCAGCCUCUCCAUCCCCACCUCAUGGCUGGAUAGUCUGCCCCACCCUCCAAAUUAGGCUGGCGCCUUCCCCCCCCUAGAGGGAGGAGGGGGCGAGGCCGGACUGCUUCCUCCCCCCGCCCCCCCCACCCCCAGCCUGGGUGGGGCCUCCCUGUCCCGCCUUUCCGCCCUCCUCUCCUCUGAGUCUAUUCUGUUGCUGGUCUUGGAAGACCGGGUCUGUACCCGGCUCUCACCUGCCUGUGUGGCCUGGGGGACCCAGCGGGGAGGCUGGACACAUGCCUCCCUCGGGGGCUCCCUGACAGAUCGUGUAUUUCACCGCUACAUUCCCCUACGUGGUCCUCGUUGUACUGCUGGUGCGUGGAGUGCUGCUGCCCGGCGCCUUGGACGGCAUCAUCUACUAUCUCAAGCCCGACUGGUCGAAGCUGGCGUCCCCUCAGGUGUGGAUAGAUGCCGGCACCCAGAUUUUCUUUUCUUACGCCAUUGGCCUGGGGGCCCUCACGGCCCUGGGCAGCUACAACCGCUUCAACAACAACUGCUACAAGGAUGCCAUCAUCCUCGCGCUCAUCAACAGCGGGACCAGCUUCUUUGCUGGCUUCGUGGUCUUCUCCAUCCUGGGCUUCAUGGCCACAGAGCAGGGCGUGCACAUCUCCAAGGUGGCCGAGUCAGGUAAAGACCUCCGAGCCGCAGCCCGGCCUCGAGCAGCUGCUGCCCGACGUACCGUGUACACAAACACCACUCGAGGAGAGGAAUGAGAACUCAAACUCAAUUUGUCACAUCACUCUGGGCCAGAAGUGGGCCUGGCUAAGCAGCUGUGAGGCACAGCUGUUCCGCCCGCUCAGGGCUGGAGCCCUGGGGGCUGGGCCACGUGGAGCCUUGGGGCCCCCGCCCGUCUGUAUCCAGGGGUCCCCGGCUAUAGCCUCACCCGCCAGAGUGUCGCACGGGGACAGGAGGGCCUCUGCGAGGUCAGUGGUGACCUGUGACCACAAUAGCUGCUGGCACCCAGGGCCGGAAGGCUGAGCCAGACACCCCAUUCUUAGGGGUGGAAGUCUACCAGGGGCCUGCGGGAACCUUCCAUCCAGCCCGCGGUGUGGCACAGGGACUUGCGUGGCCCGGCAGCCCCCUGAUGCCAGUGGGAAGGUCCUUGGCCACAGGGUGCCCUGCUGGCGUCCACGCCUCGGGUACCGUGGGGCAGGUGGGGAGUGGGGGCUGGGAUGUGGCUGGGGAGCUACAGGUGUCCACAUCCUGCCCCUUCCCCCCCAGGGCCUGGUCUGGCUUUCAUCGCCUACCCCAGGGCUGUCACACUGAUGCCUGUGGCCCCGCUCUGGGCUGCCCUGUUCUUCUUCAUGCUGCUGCUGCUCGGCCUCGACAGCCAGGUUUGCGAGGGGACAGGACAGGGGGUGCCGGGCGCUGGGGGGCGCUGGGCGGCGGGAGGGUGGGAGGCGAGGGGUGGGGGUGGGGGGCGCGGGGGCACAG
rnacentral:lncRNA from 1 species